GCAUGAAGCUGGAAUCGCUAGUAAUCGCGGAUCAGAAUGCCGCGGUGAAUACGUUCCCGGGUCUUGUACACACCGCCCGUCACACCAUGGGAGCCGGAAAUGCCCGAAGUCUGCGACCCAACCUGAGAAGGAGGGAGCAGCCGAAGGCAGGUCUGGUAACUGGGGUGAAGUCGUAACAAGGUAGC
rnacentral:rRNA from 1 species